UGUUACUUUAUUCUGUCCUUUGUAAGAAGGCUGCUUGCAAAACACAGCCGAGGAAGAACCAAAGGGCUGGGCCACAGCAAAGGAAGAAACAAAGCCCAAGUGAGGUCCUCUGCCUGGGCCGCUGCUGGUUAUCCCGAGGCGGGCCCUCCGGAAUCCAGCUCUAAGGAAACUGGAAAGGGCCUGGGGUCAGACUGGUGUGUCUGAUGGUCCUUUCUUUCAUAGCAUUAGCAAUAAAACGUAGAGAUUAGGGAACCCUAGUGAUGCAUGUCAAAGGCUUCUUUUUAUGCCAAACAAGUAAAAUACAAUCUGCCCACUCACCCUGUCACACAGCUGCAGGACUAGAGCUGGACUUAUCCUAGGCAUUUCUGCAAAAUUCUGUUCACAGCACAAAAUUACAAUUUACCCUAAGGUAUUAACCUUUCAGGUUAUGUUAAAAAUAUAUGGUCUUUCGGUUACCCUGCCCUAUCCCCUGAAAAAGUAUAUGGUCCAGCCAGGCCGUGGCCAGGUGGCACAUCCCUGUAAUCCCAGCACUUUUGAGGCAGAGACAGGAAGAUCACUGUGAACGUGAGGCCAGCAUGGGCUGCAGAAUGAGUGGACGGCCAGCCUGAACUGUGUAGUAAGACCUUGUCUAAAAAAAAAAAAGUAUAUGAUCUUGUAUAAAUGUCAAAUUUUGAAACAAUGAAUAUUUUUCUGAACCAGUUAAAGUUGAAAGAAUUCCUCUGAGCAGCUUAGAUGCCCAGGAGAACACCCGCAGAAGCCAUGUUGCUGUGGGAAUGCACAAGGUUCACCAGUCCAGAGAGGGCACUACAGGGCAUGUGCAGCUGUUACCUGGCUGGCUGUCCUCGCCCACCUGUGCUGCGCUCAGAGUGGACACCGUGUUUACUAGAAUACCUGGGCCUGGGAACCACAUGAAGGAAAGAAAGUUCUUACGGUGCCUGGAGGCUGGAAGGCCUAGUGGAAGGGCUGCGUGAGUCCUGCACACAGGAGACAAAGCCAAGCUGGCCCUGCAACAGAUCCUCUGUUCCUCCCCUGGUCCAUGAAUGAGCGAGGUCACUCCAGAGAACACCGCCCUCAGACCCCUGGACCCCACCUCUCAGUCCCUCAUAGGGGGGAUCAGACUUCAGCCUGAGUUUGGGGGGGCGUUCGCGCCACAGCACCUGAGCUCACUCUAAAACCCUGCGGAGAAAACCUGCCUGUGAAACCUUGAAUUCCCGUGGAAGACAAAUGAGGGACAAACAGGACUGUUUGAUGCAGGAGUCUGCAUCUCCUGGGCUCUGCAAAUGAUUAAAUUGAUUCAAAUAUGACUGACACUGAGCUGUGUGGUUUGGGCACCAAUUAAUAAAUUCUGAUAAAGUUGGCAGAAGAGGGCUUUGAGUUAAGUAGAAGGAAACAAAGAAGAAAACCCAGCUCUUGUACUUUCUGCUUUAAACUGUCGGGGAGCACAUAGAUCAGUUCUCCCAGGACUUAUUACAAAGACUCAGAGGAUGUUAAAUCCACUGGGAAGAGCCAGGAGCGCUGUGUGUUGCAGGGAAAUGUGACUUAGUCAAUAAAGGAACAGUAGAUCCUUUUAA